GGGGACUUAGUGGCGGACGGGUGAGUAACACGUGAGAACCUACCUUCAGAAUGGGGACAACAGUUGGAAACGACUGCUAAUACCCGAUGUGCCGAGAGGUGAAAGAUUUAUCGUCUGAAGAUGGGCUCGCGGCUGAUUAGCUAGUUGGUAGUGUAAGGGACUACCAAGGCGACGAUCAGUAGCUGGUCUGAGAGGAUGAGCAGCCACACUGGAACUGAGAAACGGUCCAGACUCCUACGGGAGGCAGCAGUGGGGAAUUUUCCGCAAUGGGCGAAAGCCUGACGGAGCAAUACCGCGUGUGGGAGGAAGGCCCUUGGGUUGUAAACCACUUUUAUCAGGGAAGAAGCUCUGACGGUACCUGAUGAAUAAGCAUCGGCUAACUCCGUGCCAGCAGCCGCGGUAAUACGGAGGAUGCAAGCGUUAUCCGGAAUCAUUGGGCGUAAAGCGUCCGUAGGUGGUUUGUCAAGUCUGUCGUCAAAGAAUGGAGCUUAACUCCAUAAAGGCGGUGGAAACUGAGAGACUAGAGUUCGGUAGGGGUAGCGGGAAUUCCCAGUGUAGCGGUGAAAUGCGUAGAUAUUGGGAAGAACAUCGGUGGCGAAAGCGCGCUACUGGGCCGAAACUGACACUGAGGGACGAAAGCUAGGGUAGCGAAAGAGAUUAGAUACCCCUGUAGUCCUAGCCGUAAACG
rnacentral:rRNA from 1 species